UCCUCUGUCACAGUGACAAUCCAUCUCAGCUCAUCUGGACAUCAUCUCGCAGUGCAAGGAAAUCUAAUUUCAGCCUCGAGGACUUCCAGCACAGCAAAGGCAAGGAACCCUACAGCUCUUCCAAAUAUGCCACUGACCUUUUGAGUGUGGCUUUGAACAGGAACUUCAACCAGCAGGUGCUGUAUUCGUCUGUGUAUGUCAUUAAAUACCUGCCUCAUUACAUGGAGGUGGGUCUAAGUAUUACCAUUUUCAGAUGAGGACACUAAAUCUCGGAGAACCUUCGCUUUUUUGCAAAUGCAUUCACUUUGACACCAUAUAAUGGAACAGAAGCUCUGAUGGACCUAGAUGAAGACACUGCUGAAAAAUUUUAUCAAAAGUUACUGGAACUGGAAAAGCACAUUAGGGUCACUAUUCAAAAAACAGAUAAUCAGGCCAGGCUCAGUGGCUCAUGCCUAUAAUUCCAGCACUUUGGGAGGCCAAGGCAGAAGGAUCACUUGAGACCAGGAGUUCAAGACCAGCCUGAGAAACAUAGUGAGCCCUUGUCUCUACAAAAAGAAAUAAAAA
rnacentral:lncRNA from 10 species